rnacentral:rRNA from 1 species
AGAUUAAGUUAUUAAGGGCGCACGGUGGAUGCCUUGGCACUAGAAGCCGAAGAAGGACGUUACUAACGACGAUAUGCUUUGGGUAGCUGUAAGUAAGCGUUGAUCCAGAGAUUUCCGAAUGGGGGAACCCAACAUGAGUUAUGUCAUGUUAUCGACAUGUGAAUUCAUAGCAUGUCAGAAGGCAGACCCGGAGAACUGAAACAUCUUAGUACCCGGAGGAAGAGAAAGAAAAAUCGAUUCCCUGAGUAGCGGCGAGCGAAACGGGAAGAGCCCAAACCAACAAGCUUGCUUGUUGGGGUUGUAGGACACUCUAUACGGAGUUACAAAAGAACAUGUUAGACGAAUCAUCUGGAAAGAUGAAUCAAAGAAGGUAAUAAUCCUGUAGUCGAAAACAUAUUCUCUCUUGAGUGGAUCCUGAGUACGACGGAGCACGUGAAAUUCCGUCGGAAUCUAGGAGGACCAUCUCCUAAGGCUAAAUACUCUCUAGUGACCGAUAGUGAACCAGUACCGUGAGGGAAAGGUGAAAAGUACCCCGGAAGGGGAGUGAAAGAGAACUUGAAACCGUGUGCUUACAAGUAGUCAGAGCCCGUUUAUGGGUAAUGGCGUGCCUUUUGUAGAAUGAACCGGCGAGUUACGAUCUGAUGCAAGGUUAAGCAGCGAAUGUGGAGCCGUAGCGAAAGCGAGUCUGAAUAGGGCGUUGAGUAUUUGGUCGUAGACCCGAAACCAGGUGAUCUACCCUUGGUCAGGUUGAAGUUCAGGUAACACUGAAUGGAGGACCGAACCGACUUACGUUGAAAAGUGAGCGGAUGAACUGAGGGUAGCGGAGAAAUUCCAAUCGAACUUGGAGAUAGCUGGUUCUCUCCGAAAUAGCUUUAGGGCUAGCCUCAAGUGAUGAUUAUUGGAGGUAGAGCACUGUUUGGACGAGGGGCCCCUCUCGGGUUACCGAAUUCAGACAAACUCCGAAUGCCAAUCAAUUUAACUUGGGAGUCAGAACAUGGGUGAUAAGGUCCGUGUUCGAAAGGGAAACAGCCCAGACCACCAGCUAAGGUCCCAAAAUAUAUGUUAAGUGGAAAAGGAUGUGGCGUUGCCCAGACAACUAGGAUGUUGGCUUAGAAGCAGCCAUCAUUUAAAGAGUGCGUAAUAGCUCACUAGUCGAGUGACACUGCGCCGAAAAUGUACCGGGGCUAAACAUAUUACCGAAGCUGUGGAUUGUCCUUCGGACAAUGGUAGGAGAGCGUUCUAAGGGCGUUGAAGCAUGAUCGCAAGGACAUGUGGAGCGCUUAGAAGUGAGAAUGCCGGUGUGAGUAGCGAAAGACGGGUGAGAAUCCCGUCCACCGAUUGACUAAGGUUUCCAGAGGAAGGCUCGUCCGCUCUGGGUUAGUCGGGUCCUAAGCUGAGGCCGACAGGCGUAGGCGAUGGAUAACAGGUUGAUAUUCCUGUACCACCUAGUAUCGUUUUAAUCGAUGGGGGGACGCAGUAGGAUAGGCGAAGCGUGCUGUUGGAGUGCACGUCCAAGCAGUAAGGCUGAGUGUUAGGCAAAUCCGGCACUCGUUAGGCUGAGCUGUGAUGGGGAGAGGAAAUUGUUUCCUCGAGUCGUUGAUUUCACACUGCCGAGAAAAGCCUCUAGAUAGAUAACAGGUGCCCGUACCGCAAACCGACACAGGUAGUCAAGAUGAGAAUUCUAAGGUGAGCGAGCGAACUCUCGUUAAGGAACUCGGCAAAAUGACCCCGUAACUUCGGGAGAAGGGGUGCUCUUUAGGGUUCACGCCCAGAAGAGCCGCAGUGAAUAGGCCCAAGCGACUGUUUAUCAAAAACACAGGUCUCUGCUAAACCGUAAGGUGAUGUAUAGGGGCUGACGCCUGCCCGGUGCUGGAAGGUUAAGAGGAGUGGUUAGCUUCUGCGAAGCCACGAAUCGAAGCCCCAGUAAACGGCGGCCGUAACUAUAACGGUCCUAAGGUAGCGAAAUUCCUUGUCGGGUAAGUUCCGACCCGCACGAAAGGCGUAACGAUUUGGGCACUGUCUCAACGAGAGACUCGGUGAAAUCAUAGUACCUGUGAAGAUGCAGGUUACCCGCGACAGGACGGAAAGACCCCGUGGAGCUUUACUGUAGCCUGAUAUUGAAAUUCGGCACAGCUUGUACAGGAUAGGUAGGAGCCAUUGAAACGUGAGCGCUAGCUUACGUGGAGGCGUUGGUGGGAUACUACCCUAGCUGUGUUGGCUUUCUAACCCGCACCACUUAUCGUGGUGGGAGACAGUGUCAGGCGGGCAGUUUGACUGGGGCGGUCGCCUCCUAAAAGGUAACGGAGGCGCUCAAAGGUUCCCUCAGAAUGGUUGGAAAUCAUUCACAGAGUGUAAAGGCAUAAGGGAGCUUGACUGCGAGACCUACAAGUCGAGCAGGGUCGAAAGACGGACUUAGUGAUCCGGUGGUUCCGCAUGGAAGGGCCAUCGCUCAACGGAUAAAAGCUACCCCGGGGAUAACAGGCUUAUCUCCCCCAAGAGUUCACAUCGACGGGGAGGUUUGGCACCUCGAUGUCGGCUCAUCGCAUCCUGGGGCUGUAGUCGGUCCCAAGGGUUGGGCUGUUCGCCCAUUAAAGCGGUACGCGAGCUGGGUUCAGAACGUCGUGAGACAGUUCGGUCCCUAUCCGUCGUGGGCGUAGGAAAUUUGAGAGGAGCUGUCCUUAGUACGAGAGGACCGGGAUGGACAUACCUCUGGUGUACCAGUUGUCGUGCCAACGGCAUAGCUGGGUAGCUAUGUAUGGACGGGAUAAGUGCUGAAAGCAUCUAAGCAUGAAGCCCCCCUCAAGAUGAGAUUUCCCAACUUCGGUUAUAAGAUCCCUCGAAGAUGACGAGGUUAAUAGGUUCGAGGUGGAAGCGUGGUGACACGUGGAGCUGACGAAUACUAAUCGAUCGAAGACUUAAUCAAU